ACAAUAUUUUUUCAAACCUCGUAGGUAUAUUUUUAUUUAGCUGAUAUUAUACUCAAGUAACUAUUGGUUUCGUACAGGCAGAGCCAUCUAUCGGCAGGAUUGUAUUGAUAACCCAGUUUGCUGUUAGCUAGAAUGACAAAAGAUGGCGUGUCGAUCGUCGUUAAUUUAUUUCCUUCCAAAAUCCCUUUUGAAUUUUCAUUUAUUAAAAAAUAAAACUCAAUUUAUUAUUGUAUUGUUAGUUUUCGUUCCUUUUUGGAAAUAUUUUAUUACCCUCUUUAAGACAGAAGUUAAAGUUGUUGUCUAUAGGCGAAUGCAUCUCGUCACGUAUCUGUGGGCCGAGCUGUCAGCCGACACUUUGCAUAUUGGAAAGGAUGUAGACGGGUGGUUUUCAAAUUCUUCAGGGCCAAUGCGCCACAUUCUAAUUUUUAAAUCGCGAAUUAAUCGCAUAAUCGUAAGUAUUUUCUUCCAUAUUCGAAUGCAGUUUGUUGUGUUACGUUCAGUGCUAAUUCUUGUGUCCAUUAUUUUCAGAUGAUUUUAUUUUUAUAAAAUUACUGAGGACCCCUUCCAUUGACAUGAUUGCACGGAACCACAAGCCGGCUUCUUUUCUGGAAUGGGUCCUCAGAUUUGGAGGUUAACGUUCGAAGACAGAGCAGAGCUGAUGCUUCCCGAGCCUGGACCGGUGGACAGGAGGCUGUGGCGAUCGGUAUGGAAGAGCUCCCAUUCCGUGGCUGCAGCGGCCACCUCUCCUCAAUUCGGUUAGACGUUCCCCAAGGUCAGAGCGUUCCUCGUUUAUUUUUUAAAAAAGGCGCCCAACAUAAAUUAAUUUUUUAAUUAAUAAUUUACCUUUUACCCGGUCUUCCAGUACCAGAACUACUGACUCACCCCUAUGCUCUAAAUUUUAGGUAUUUGUUUUUUUUUUUAAGUAAAUAGACUGAGCUAGCGAUAUAAUUUAUAAUAAGGGUAGUUUCAUUGCCUACCAGUUAGGCGUUACUAAGUAGUGUAUUAUUACUUUCGAAAUUAUUUUCAAAAAGUAAGUUAAUUAAAAAGUUAUUUUCUAUAUAAA